AGUUUGAUUCUGGCUCAGAUUGAACGCUGGCGGGAUGCUUUACACAUGCAAGUCGAACGGCAGCACGGACUUCGGUCUGGUGGCGAGUGGCGAACGGGUGAGUAAUGUAUCGGAACGUGCCUAGUAGCGGGGAUAACUACGCGAAAGCGUAGCUAAUACUGACAAUACCCUUCGGGGAAAGCGGGGGACCCUUCGGGCCUCGCACUAUUAGAGCGGCCGAUAUCGGAUUAGCUAGUUGGUGGGGUAACGGCUCACCAAGGCGACGAUCCGUAGCUGGUUUGAGAGGACAAUCAGCCACACUGGGACUGAGACACGGGCCCAGACUGCCGGAGGCAGCAGUGGGGAAUUUUGGACACGGGGGAAACCCUGAUCCAGCCAUCCCGCGUGUGCGAUGAAGGCCUUCGGGUUGUAAAGCACUUUCCCGGCAGGAAAGAAACGGCACGGGAUAAUACCCGUGCAACUGACGGUACCUGCAGAAUAAGCACCGGCUAACUACGCCAGCAGCCGCGCAGCAUACGUAGGGUGCAAGCGUUAAUCGGAAGAUUGGGCGUAAAAGCGUGCGCAGGCGGUUCGGAAAGAAAGAUGUGAAAAUCCCAGAGCUUAACUUUGGAACUGCAUUUUUAACUACCGAGCUAGAGUGUGUCAGGAGGGAGGUAAUCUCGCGUAGCAGCGAAAUGCGUAGAUAUGCGGAGGGUCACUGAUGGCGAAGGCAGCCUCCUGGGAUAACACUGAUGCUCAUGCACGAAAGCGUGGGGAGCAAACAGGGAUUAGAUACCCUGGUGGUCCACGCCCUAAUGAUGUCAACUAGUCAAGUUGGGGCUACCGGUAGCAGCUAACGCGGUGAAGUUGACCGCCUGUGGCGUCGUCGCAAGAUUAAAACUCAAAGGAAUUGAUGGGACCCGCACGUUGGGUGAUGAUGUGGAUUAAUUCGAUGCAACGCGAAAAACCUUACCUACCCUUGACAGUCUGGAAUCCCGAAGAGAUUUGGGAGUGCUGCAAGGAGAACCGGAACAUUGUUGUGUUGAUGGUUGUCAGCUCGUGUCGUAGAUGUUGGGUUAAGUCCCGCAACGAGCGCAACCCUUGUCAUUAGUUGCUACGAAAGGGCACUCUAUCGAGACUGCCGGUGACAAACCGGAGGAAGGUGGGGAUGACGUCAAGUCCUCAUGGCCCUUAUGGGUAGGGCUUUACACGUCAUACAAUGAAGUUCGAUAGAGGGCUCAACCCGCGAGGGGGAGCUGAACCCAGAAACCCGAUCGUAGUCCGGAUCGCAGUCUGCAACUCGACUGCGUGAAGUCGGAAUCGCUAGUAAUCGCGGAUCAGCAUGUCGCGGUGAAUACGUUCCCGGGUCUUGUACACACCCUGGCCCGUCACACCAUGGGAGUGGGUUUUACCAGAAGUGAAGUUAUUAGCCUAACCGUAAGGAGGGCGAUUACCACGGUAGGAUUCAUGACUGGGGUGAAGUCAACAAGGUAA
rnacentral:rRNA from 1 species